UACGAAGGGGGCUAGCGUUGUUCGGAAUUACUGGGCGUAAAGCGCACGUAGGCGGACUAUUAAGUCAGGGGUGAAAUCCCGGGGCUCAACCCGGAACCUGCCUUGAUACUGGUAGUCUCGAGUCCGGAAGAGGUGAGUGGAAUUCCGAGUGUAGAGGUGAAAUUCGUAGAUAUUCGGAGGAACACCAGUGGCGAAGGCGGCUCACUGGUCCGGUACUGACGCUGAGGUGCGAAAGCGUGGGGAGCAACAGG
rnacentral:rRNA from 1 species